AUUGAACGCUUGCGGCAGGCCUAACACAUGCAAGUCGAGCGAGCGGCGGACGGGUGAGUAAUGUAUGGGGAUCUGCCCGAUAGAGGGGGAUAACUACUGGAAACGGUAGCUAAUACAGCAUACCAUCGGAUGUGCCCAGAUGGGAUUAGCUAGUAGGUGGGGUAAAGGCGCACCUAGGCGACGAUCCCUAGCUGGUCUGAGAGGAUGACCAGCCACACUGGAACUGAGACACGGUCCAGACUCCUACGGGAGGCAGCAGUGGGGAAUAUUGCACAAUGGGCGCAAGCCUGAUGCAGCCAUGCCGCGUGUAUGAAGAAGGCCUUCGGGUUGUAAAGUACUUUCAGCGGGGAGGCGUUACCCGCAGAAGAAGCACCGGCUAACUCCGUGCCAGCCGCCGCGGUAAUUC
rnacentral:rRNA from 1 species